AAAUUGAAGAGUUUGAUCAUGGCUCAGAUUGAACGCUGGCGGCAGGCCUAACACAUGCAAGUCGAACGGUAACAGGAAGCAGCUUGCUGCUUCGCUGACGAGUGGCGGACGGGUGAGUAAUGUCUGGGAAACUGCCUGAUGGAGGGGGAUAACUACUGGAAACGGUAGCUAAUACCGCAUAACGUCGCAAGACCAAAGAGGGGGACCUUCGGGCCUCUUGCCAUCGGAUGUGCCCAGAUGGGAUUAGCUAGUAGGUGGGGUAACGGCUCACCUAGGCGACGAUCCCUAGCUGGUCUGAGAGGAUGACCAGCCACACUGGAACUGAGACACGGUCCAGACUCCUACGGGAGGCAGCAGUGGGGAAUAUUGCACAAUGGGCGCAAGCCUGAUGCAGCCAUGCCGCGUGUAUGAAGAAGGCCUUCGGGUUGUAAAGUACUUUCAGCGGGGAGGAAGGGAGUAAAGUUAAUACCUUUGCUCAUUGACGUUACCCGCAGAAGAAGCACCGGCUAACUCCGUGCCAGCAGCCGCGGUAAUACGGAGGGUGCAAGCGUUAAUCGGAAUUACUGGGCGUAAAGCGCACGCAGGCGGUUUGUUAAGUCAGAUGUGAAAUCCCCGGGCUCAACCUGGG
rnacentral:rRNA from 1 species